rnacentral:rRNA from 1 species
AAAGAAAUCAGUUCAGCACUAAGUCACUUUGUCUUUAUGGCAAAUGUGAGAUGCAGUGUAUGGAAUGUUCAAUUUCUAGUAUGAGAAAUUAACGAUUUAAGUCCUUCUUAAAUGAGGCCAUUUACCCAUAGAGGGUGCCAGGCCCGUAUAACGUUAAUGAUUACUAGAGAACAUUUCCAAAGAGUCGUGUUGCUUGAUAGUGCAGCACUAAGUGGGUGGUAAACUCCAUCUAAAACUAAAUAUAACCAUGAGACCGAUAGUAAACAAGUACCGUGAGGGAAAGUUGAAAAGAACUCUGAAUAGAGAGUUAAAUAGUACGUGAAACUGCUUAGAGGUUAAGCCCGAUGAACCUGAAUAUCCAUUAUGGAAAAUUCAUCGUUACGAUUGUGAUAUGAAUAAUAUUGCGAGAAUGGCGUGCAUUUUUUCCAUAUAAGGACAUUGUAAUCUAUUAACAUUCCAAUUUAUCAUAAGAUCAAUGGCUUAAGUUUAUUCAAAUUAUUAUGCUUGCAUUUUAACAUAGAAUAAAUGCUAUUGAUUUGAUAAAGUGUUGAUAGAUUUAUAAUAUAUAGUGCUUGAAUAUGCAAAUAUUCUAUAAUGACAUAUUAAUCAUUGAUUUGUGUGUUUAUUAUAUGCGCUUAUAUGAUUAACAAUGCGAAAGAUUCAGGAUACCUUCGGGACCCGUCUUGAAACACGGACCAAGGAGUCUAACAUAUUUGCAAGUUAUUGGGAAUUAAAAAACCUAAUAGCGAAAUUAACAUAACUUAUAUAAUGGGAUUAGUUUUUAGUUCUAUUUUAUAGUCUAUUAAUUCAAUCCCGGGGCGUUCUAUCAGUUAUGCAUAAUAGUAUUUAUAUUAUUUAUGCCUCUAACUAGAGCGUACCUUGAGCAUAUAUGCUGUGACCCGAAAGAUGGUGAACUAUACUUGAUCAGGUUGAAGUCAGGGGAAACCCUG